rnacentral:lncRNA from 1 species
AUUUACUCUCUUAAAUCAUGCGAUGCUAUCUCAUCUCAUUAUGAGAGUUGUUCCGUGCUUCUGAUGCACUGUGUGGUGGUGAGGAGCAGGAAGCACCCAUUGUCAUAUAUGCAUCCAAAGCAAACCAAAUUUGCUUCCAUAAAACAAAACAUGGCACAAGGAGGUUAGGUUUUGCGUUGUCUCAUAAUGCAGAUGCCAACGGCCGAUGAUACAAUGGUCGUGCCCUUCCUUUGGUGGUCAUGCUUCCUCCUAAUCAUGCCAAUGGUGACCGUGCUUCCUUCAUGUGGUGACUGUGCUUUCUUAUGAUGUUGUUCCUGCUUCGUUCGCAUGGUAUAGGUCCGCUUCCUCCGAUGGUGAAAGUGCUUUCUUCGGUCACCACACAUCUCAAGGAAUCUGCAUGGACGAAUCGUUAGCAAAGGAUCGUGCUUCCUUUAGAAGGUGGACGCCUGCCCAUAGGCCUAAACGGCGUCAAUGAGGAGGGGCAUGAAUGGAGCGAUGCCGCCACAUGGAUGCAUGUAGUGUUUGCCGAUGGUUGUGCUUCAUUGAGAUAGCGGCCAUGGAUCCUUCCCGUCGAUCCGCUGGCCUACUGGUGACUCGCCGAGCAACCUGGUGAGCCGAGAACACCUUCUUGUGGACGAAGCUAAUAAUGAAGUGAUGUGUUGCAGAUCGGAUGACACAAUACUGGGGCGUGCAACCUGGACGGCGCUGGUGGAGAGACCGGGACAUCAUGGUGGUGAGGAGGCUUGGAAGCAGUAGAAGAAGAGAGGAGCAAUGGCGGAGCUAUAGAUGUC